rnacentral:rRNA from 1 species
GAUGAACGCUGGCGGCGUGCCUAAUACAUGCAAGUCGAGCGAACAGAUGAGGAGCUUGCUCCUCUGACGUUAGCGGCGGACGGGUGAGUAACACGUGGAUAACCUACCUAUAAGACUGGGAUAACUUCGGGAAACCGGAGCUAAUACCGGAUAAUAUAUUGGACCGCAUGGUUCAAUAGUGAAAGACGGUUUUGCUGUCACUUAUAGAUGGAUCCGCACCGCAUUAGCUAGUUGGUAAGGUAACGGCUUACCAAGGCAACGAUGCGUAGCCGACCUGAGAGGGUGAUCGGCCACACUGGAACUGAGACACGGUCCAGACUCCUACGGGAGGCAGCAGUAGGGAAUCUUCCGCAAUGGGCGAAAGCCUGACGGAGCAACGCCGCGUGAGUGAUGAAGGUCUUCGGAUCGUAAAACUCUGUUAUUAGGGAAGAACAAAUGUGUAAGUAACUAUGCACGUCUUGACGGUACCUAAUCAGAAAGCCACGGCUAACUACGUG